rnacentral:rRNA from 1 species
CCCUUAGAUGCUCUGGGCCGCACGCGCGCUACACUGGUCGAUGCAACGAGUUUCUUUCCUUGGCCGACGGGCCUGGGCAAUCUUUGAACAUCGAUCGUGAUCGGGAUAGAUUCUUGUAAUUUUUGAUCUUAAACGAGGAAUUCCUAGUAAACGCAAGUCAUCAGCUUGCAUUGAUUACGUCCCUGCCCUUUGUACACACCGCCCGUCGCACCCACCGAUUGAAUGGUCCGGUGAAAUCUCCGGACUGGCGUGAGUCGGAGCAAUCUGACAAACACCGGAAAGUUGAUUAAACCUUACCAUUUAGAGGAAGGUGAAGUCGUAACA